rnacentral:lncRNA from 10 species
CUUAGCACAUGGAACCCUAAACCAAAGCCUGCACUGGGGCAUUUGUGAGAAGCGUGUGUGCAAAGCCUGAGAGACUCCCCUUUUGGGCAUGCUGCUGGGCAGGGGUGUUCUGGUUUGACUUUGUACAUCCUGGAAUACAGACAUGAUGGCUACCAUCUUGGACUAUGAACAUGAGGAUCACACCCAAGGGAAGGAGAGGCAGCAAGCUGGAAGGUACUAUGGAGCAGAACUGCCACAGCCUGAGUACCUACCUCUGGAACUUUCUGUGAGAAAUGAAAUGGGCCCAACAGUUCCAUAAACAGUUGUUUUGGGAUAAACAUAGAAAUGGCCCCUAGCUUGAAAUUUGCAUUUGUUUUAUCUGAGUUCCCUCCUCAGGAAAGGACCUUCAGGCCUCUCAAAAAAGUAUCAAGAGAACUGACACCAGAUGCCUCCUUGCCCCUCCCUAGUUCCUGUUUUCUUAAACAUUGUUACAUAUCUUCCCUGCUAUGUAAGCCCCUAGAUUUAGUCAGUCAGGGAGAUGGAUUUGAGACUGAGCUCUCAUAACUUGGCUGCAGCACCCGAUUAAAGCCUUCUUCCUUGGCAAUACU